AUUGAACGCUGGCAGCAGGCUUAACACAUGCAAGUCGAGCGGGGGAGGUUACUUCGGUAACUGACCUAGCGGCGGACGGGUGAGUAAUGUUUAGGAAGCUGCCUAGUAGUGGGGGACAACAUGCCGAAAGUAAUGCUAAUACCGCACACGCCCUACGGGGGCAAGCAGGGGAUCAUAGGACCUUGCGCUAAUUGAUGAGCCUAAGUCGGAUGAGCUAGUAGGUGGGGUAAAGGCCUACCAAGGCGACGAUCUGAAGCGGGUUUGAGAGGAUUAUCCGCCACACUGGGACUGAGACACGGCCCAGACUCCUACGGGAGGCAGCAGUGGGGAAUAUUGGACAAUGGGGGGAACCCUGAUCCAGGCAUGCCGGGUGUGUGAAGAAGGCCUUUUGGUUGUAAAGCACUUUAAGCGAGGAGGAGGCUCCUUUAGUUAAUACCUAAAGAGAGUGGACGUUACUCGCAGAAUAAGCACCGGCUAACUCUGUGCCAGCCGCCGCCGUAA
rnacentral:rRNA from 1 species